UUGCCAUGGGAACCUCGCCCCUUCUAGAGUCCUGGCCGCUUGACUCAGCUAAGCGCGAAGGUGUUGUUUCUUCCUGAGGUGCGCUGGGGCUGGGACCCGGUCUGCAGAAGGUCCAGGGGAUGGCGUCGGGGGAUUGAGGAGAGGAGACCAAGCCGGCCUUGCCUCCGGGACCAGCGCUUCCAAAUUCUCUGGGGCGUCCCGGCGCGCACACGCUCCUGAGGCCUCGGCGUUCUGAGGAAAGGGGCUGGCGUGGCGACCCGGGUCCUCGAGGCCGAGAUCUGGCUGUGGCCCGCGAAGCCCCGCUUGCCCGCGCCAGCGUCUUGUCACCCCGAGCCGAGGGCCUGCGCGCGGCCGACAGAUAUGGGAUGCUGGAGGACAUCUGGGGGCCACAAAUGCUCCUUCUCCUGGAGACGCAACUCAAGCAUCACACCGGUGACCUCUGGGACACUGCUCUGCCUUGGUUCUCCUGCCACUCUGAGCACUCUUCCCCUCUGGUUUGCUGGAUCUUCUUCCACCAUUUUCUAGAGAGAAUUUUCCCAGGUGCCAUGCUUGGUCUUCUCUUUGACUGUCUCUCUUGAAUCUUUCAUCUGUGCGCAUAGGUCAGUUCUAUGCAGGUGAUUUCCUUGUCCCCUGGAUACUGCCCCUCCCCUGACCUCUCUGCUGGACUUGAGCUCUGUUUCCAUUUCCUACCAGAUGUUUCCAUUUGGUGUCCUGUCGUCAUCUCAAACCAAGCAUGUAUAAAAUUGAGCCUGUCUUCCCCCUCCCAGUUUCCAUUUUUCUUCCCAUGGCAUCAGCAUUCUCUCACCCACCCAAGCUCAAAACCUGAGUCAUAUUUGACACCUCCUCCCCAUUCUUCCCUUACCAAAUGCAAGUUUUGCCAACUUCUUUUGCAACAUCUCUUAUAGUUCUUUGUCCCUUUAUUUUAUUUAUUUUUAUUUUUUUUGAGAUGGAGCUUCGCUCUUGUUACCCAGGCUGGAGUGCAGUGGCGCGAUCUUGGUUACUGCAUCACUGCAACCUCCGCCUCCCCGGUUCAAGUGAUUCUCCUGCCUCAGCCUCCUGAGUAGCUGGAAUUACAGGCAUGCACCACCACGCCCAGCUAAUUUUGUAUUUUUAGUAGAGACAGGGUUUCUCCACGUUUGUCA
rnacentral:lncRNA from 1 species